rnacentral:rRNA from 1 species
AGAGUUUGAUCCUGGCUCAGGAUGAACGCUAGCGGCAGGCUUAACACAUGCAAGUCGAGGGGCAGCGGGUGUAGCAAUACAUGCCGGCGACCGGCGCAAGGGUGCGUAACGCGUGAGCAAUCUGCCCGUAUCAGGGGGAUAAGCGAUGGAAACGUCGUCUAAUACCGCAUAACACCAAUGAUGGCAUCAUCGAUGGUUGAAAGCUUCGGUGGAUACGGAUGAGCUCGCGAGACAUUAGUUAGUUGGCGGGGUAACGGCCCACCAAGACCGCGAUGUCUAGGGGAACUGAGAGGUUGGUCCCCCACACUGGAACUGAGACACGGUCCAGACUCCUACGGGAGGCAGCAGUGAGGAAUAUUGGACAAUGGCCGGAAGGCUGAUCCAGCCAUGCCGCGUGAAGGAAUAAGGUCCUAUGGAUUGUAAACUUCUUUUGUACGAGAGCAAUAAGUGUCACGAGUGACACGAUGAGAGUAUCGUACGAAUAAGCAUCGGCUAACUCCGUGCCAGCAGCCGCGGUAAUACGGAGGAUGCGAGCGUUAUCCGGAUUUAUUGGGUUUAAAGGGUGCGUAGGCGGGAUUUUAAGUCAGCGGUGAAACGCAAGGGCUCAACCCUUGACCUGCCGUUGAAACUGGAGUUCUUGAAUGCGGAUGCUGUGGGAGGAAUGUGUGGUGUAGCGGUGAAAUGCAUAGAUAUCACACAGAACACCGAUUGCGAAGGUAUCUCACAAAUCCGUGAUUGACGCUGAGGCACGAAAGUGUGGGGAUCAAACAGGAUUAGAUACCCUGGUAGUCCACACUGUAAACGAUGAUAAGUACGCUGUCGGCGAUACACAGUCGGUGGCCAAGCGAAAGCGAUAAGUAUCCACUUGGGA